UCAUAGCCUCACUGUGGAUUUUCUUCCCAUGGGAUGGAAUUGAAAGCCAGUGCAAUAAGAUAAGGAUUUAAAGCCCCACCUUUGAUUUCCCCCUCUCCAUUGCCCAUGAACAGGCUCUAUCAACAAUACGCUAUAACCUUCACCUGCGACUCCGAAAACUUUCUUGGGUCCUUGUAUUUUCUUCUCUUUUCUUUUUAGACAUUAAUACUUGCUAAAGGUGUUUGAGGUGAAUGGAGAGCUUAUUUUAAAGCAGCUUUUCAAUUCAAGUAAACAUGACAACCAUUGUCCCAAGUUCUACAAGCACUGUUUCUCUCAUUCAUGGAACUGCCUUUACAAUAAAGAAAAAUAAUCGCCUCACAAAAUGCAGUUUGUCAAGGAAAUCUUCAAAGCUUACACUAUCCUCACAAAGAUUAGUAUUUCCUCUUUUGACAUCUGCUGGAUUGUUCCCACAGUACAGAAGGAAUUGUGCAUCACUUCAUAGAUCUAUAGUGCAUACUGUAUCAGCAACAGGGACUGAUACUGAUGUUGUGGUAGAGGAGCCAGAUUCACCUGUUGCAGAUGAAGACUCUGACGGAGCCUCAGAAAUUCCAGCAGAUGCGGUUGAAUCAAGUGAAAAAUCCUCCAUCAGGUCAGAUGCCAAUCCUACUUUAGCUCAAUCAAGACGUUCAAGACCCAGUAGGAAAAGUGAAAUGCCACCAGUGAAGAAUGAGGACCUUAUUCCUGGUGCAACAUUUACUGGGAAAGUGAGAUCAAUCCAACCAUUUGGUGCUUUUGUUGAUUUUGGAGCUUUCACAGAUGGUCUAGUACAUGUUUCCAGGUUAAGUGAUAGCUUUGUUAAGGAUGUUGGAAGUGUUGUAUCUCUCGGCCAAGAGGUGACAGUGAGAUUAGUUGAAGUAAACACUGAGACGGGGCGUAUUUCUCUUACUAUGCGUGAAAGUGACAGUACCAGCAAGUCUCUUCAACAAAGAGAUUCUCCUGGUACUGCCAGCAGUGACAAGCCAAGGCCUGCUCGAAGGAACACACCAAAGCCUAGCCAGAGAAAAGAAGUUGUGAAGACCUCGAAGUUUGUUAAAGGGCAGGAACUGGAUGGCACAGUGAAGAAUUUGACCAGGUCUGGUGCUUUCAUCUCUCUCCCUGAGGGUGAGGAAGGAUUCUUGCCUGCAUCAGAAGAAUCUGAAGAUGGAUUUCUAAACAUAAUGGGGGGCUCAUCACUGCAGGUUGGCCAGGAAGUUAGCGUUAGGGUAUUGCGUGUUGCCAGGGGACAGGUUACCUUGACAAUGAAGAAGGAAGAGGAGAAUAAGUUUGAUCAGGAACUUAUCCAAGGGGUUGUCCAUAAUGCAACAAACCCUUUUGUUCUGGCUUUCCGUAAGAACAAGGAUAUCGCUGCAUUUUUAGAUGAGAGGGAAAAAAUGGAGAAAGUGGCCAAAAAACCUGUGAAACCAAAGACCUCAGUGGAAGUAGGACUGGUUAACCAGACUGAAGCUGUGUCUGAUAUGCCAGAAGUUCCGGGUCAGCUUUCAAGCAGUAAUGAGGGAUCAGUUGGUGUCUCUUCUAUGGUGGUUGAAACAGUAGAAGAGGUUGACACUACUCCAAGAGAAGUCACUACUGGAUCCAGUAGUGCUGGUGAUGACGAGGAGCCAGAAAGCAUAGAGUCAAGCGUAUCACAAAGUGUUGAAGGAGUGGUUGAAACUGUAGAGGAGGCUGAAGCUGCUACAAAAGAAGUUGACAUGGGGUCCAGUAGUACUGGAAAUGAUGAACAGCCAGAAAGCAUAGAGUCGAGCAUAUCACAAAGUGUUGAAGGAGUUAUUGAAACCGUUGAGGAAGCUGAAGCUACUCCAAAAGAAGUUGCUGUGGGAUCCAGUAGUGCUGGAGAUUAUGAAAAGCCAGAAAGCAUAGGGUCUAGCUCAUCACAAAGUAUUGAUGGGGCACUUCAAACUAUAGAGAAAGAAGCAGAGGAACGUUCUGGGAUUUUGAAUUCUGAAGGGAGUGCAUCUGCUUUGGAUAAGAUAAUUGAUGAGGCUUCUUCGACCGACGGGGUCGAAGAUGGAAAAUCAGGCUUAUCUGGAGAAAAAGUUGAUCAGCCUGGUGAUGCCAUAGCAAAAGAUGGAGUGCAAAUACAAACUCCUAGUGUGGAGAAUGAAAUUUCUUCUACUUCACCAGUUGGAGAUGAAGGCAUGGGAGAAACAAGCCCUGAUGAAAAUGGCAGUAUUACUGACUCAGGUGCGCAAGCAGGCAUUCUUUCUCCUCUGGAGGCUAAAGAAAGUCAGGAUAUUGAGGCAGUAGUGGAGGACCAAGUUGAAAACACCAAGGAUGAAGUGGAGGUUCAAACAUCUGUUGCUGAGGCUGAAAUUCCUUCUACUGUACAAAUUGAAAAUGAAAAAGUAGAAACUGUCCCUGAGAAAACUGGCACUUUUGGAGAUUCAAAUGGACAAAGCAGCAGUCCUUCCCCUGAGGAGAGUGUCGCUAAAGCAACCAUAUCACCAGCUCUGGUGAAGCAGCUUCGUGAAGAAACAGGAGCAGGAAUGAUGGAUUGCAAGAAAGCCCUCUCAGAGACUGGAGGGGAUAUCAUUAAAGCUCAGGAGUUACUCAGGAAGAAAGGAUUAGCAAGUGCAGAAAAGAAAGCCAGCAGAGCCACAGCUGAAGGAAGAAUUGGCUCUUACAUUCAUGAUAGCAGGAUUGGAGUCCUUGUAGAGGUGAACUGUGAAACAGAUUUCGUCUCCCGGGGUGACAUUUUCAAGGAGCUGGUAGAUGACAUAGCCAUGCAGGUGGCAGCAUGCCCUCAAGUACAGUACCUUGCUACUGAAGAUGUUCCCGAAGUGAUUGUGAACAAGGAAAAAGAAAUUGAGAUGCAGAAAGAAGAUCUCCUAUCAAAACCUGAGCAGAUCAGAUCAAAGAUUGUAGAAGGACGAAUCAGGAAGAGACUCGAGGAGCUGGCAUUGCUGGAACAGCCGUAUAUUAGGAAUGAUAAGAUUGUGAUAAAGGACUGGGUGAAACAGACAAUUGCAACUAUUGGAGAAAAUAUAAAAGUGAAGAGGUUUAUUCGCUACAAUCUUGGUGAGGGCUUGGAGAAGAAAAGUCAGGAUUUUGCUGCUGAGGUAGCUGCACAAACUGCAGCAAAACCAGUUACUGCACCAGCAACAGAGCAGCCUGCUCCAGCAGAAGCGAAGGAAACUAUUCAGAAGCCACCAACAGUAACAGUUUCUGCUGCACUUGUUAAACAACUGAGAGAAGAAACAGGAGCUGGUAUGAUGGACUGCAAGAAAGCGCUGUCCGAAACUGGAGGAGACCUUGAGAAGGCACAGGAGUAUCUCAGAAAGAAAGGUCUUUCAACUGCCGACAAGAAAUCUAGUCGGCUUGCAGCUGAAGGCAGAAUUGGCUCCUAUAUUCAUGAUUCCCGCAUUGGAGUUCUGAUUGAAGUCAACUGUGAAACUGACUUUGUGGGUAGAAGUGAAAAAUUCAAGGAAAUGGUUGAUGAUCUAGCCAUGCAAGUUGUGGCAUGCCCACAGGUGCAGUUUGUGUCCAUUGAGGAUGUCCCAGAGAGCAUUGUGAAGAAGGAGAAGGAGCUUGAGAUGCAAAGAGAAGACCUUUUGUCGAAACCAGAGAACAUAAGAGAGAAGAUUGUUGAGGGCAGAGUCUCAAAGAGACUUGGGGAGCUUGCUCUUC
rnacentral:misc_RNA from 1 species